rnacentral:rRNA from 1 species
AGUGAACGCUGGCGGUAGGCCUAACACAUGCAAGUCGAACGGCAGCACAGUAAGAGCUUGCACUUACGGGUGGCGAGUGGCGGACGGGUGAGGAAUACAUCGGAAUCUACUUUUUCGUGGGGGAUAACGUAGGGAAACUUACGCUAAUACCGCAUACGACCUACGGGUGAAAGCAGGGGAUCUUCGGACCUUGCGCGAUUGAAUGAGCCGAUGUCGGAUUAGCUAGUUGGCGGGGUAAAGGCCCACCAAGGCGACGAUCCGUAGCUGGUCUGAGAGGAUGAUCAGCCACACUGGAACUGAGACACGGUCCAGACUCCGACGGGAGGCAGCAGUGGGGAAUAUUGGACAAUGGGCGCAAGCCUGAUCCAGCCAUACCGCGUGGGUGAAGAAGGCCUUCGGGUUGUAAAGCCCUUUUGUUGGGAAAGAAAAGCAGCAGGUUAAUACCCCGCUGUUCUGACGGUACCCAAAGAAUAAGCACCGGCUAACUUCGUG